rnacentral:rRNA from 1 species
AACCAGCACCUCAAGUGGUCAGGAUGAUUAUUGGGCCUAAAGCAUCCGUAGCCUGUUCUGUAAGUUUUCGGUUAAAUCUAUGCGCUCAACGUAUAGGCUGCCGAAAAUACUGCAGAACUAGGGAGUGGGAGAGGUAGACGGUACUCGGUAGGAAGGGGUAAAAUCCUUUGAUCUAUUGAUGACACCUGUGGCGAAGGCGACUAACUGGGCCAUUUUUGACGCUGAGAUACGAAAGCGUGGGUAGCAAACAGG